CCAAAGGCUCUUUUCAGAGCCACCUACUCUUUCACUAAAAGAGCUA
rfam:Meleagris gallopavo isolate NT-WF06-2002-E0010 breed Aviagen turkey brand Nicholas breeding stock chromosome 1, whole genome shotgun sequence.